GCGAAUGUGGCGGAAUUGGCAGACGCGCUAGAUUUAGGAUCUAGUUACUUCGGUAGUGGGGGUUCGACUCCCCCCAUUCGCACCA
rnacentral:tRNA from 2 species